UACGUAGGGGGCGAGCGUUGUUCGGAAUUACUGGGCGUAAAGGGCGCGUAGGCGGCGACUCAAGUCAAAUGUGAAAGUCCUGGGCUUAACCUGGGGACUGCAUUUGAUACUGGGUUGCUUGAAUUCGGGAGAGGAUAGCGGAAUUCCCAGUGUAGAGGUGAAAUUCGUAGAUAUUGGGAAGAACACCGGUGGCGAAGGCGGAUAUCUGGACCGACAUUGACGCUGAGGCGCGAAAGCGUGGGGAGCAAACAGG
rnacentral:rRNA from 1 species